rnacentral:rRNA from 1 species
GCGUGCUCUUUGGAUUAGUGGGAACGGGUGAGGAACACGUGAGCAAUCUGCCCUUGACUCUGGGAUAAGCGUUGGAAACGACGUCUAAUACCGGAUACGACCCUCGGAGGCAUCUCCUGGGGGUGGAAAGAAUUUUGGUCAAGGAUGAGCUCGCGGCCUAUCAGCUUGUUGGUGAGGUAAUGGCUCACCAAGGCGACGACGGGUAGCCGGCCUGAGAGGGUGACCGGCCACACUGGGACUGAGACACGGCCCAGACUCCUACGGGAGGCAGCAGUGGGGAAUAUUGCACAAUGGGCGAAAGCCUGAUGCAGCAACGCCGCGUGAGGGACGACGGCCUUCGGGUUGUAAACCUCUUUUAGUAGGGAAGAAGCGAAAGUGACGGUACCUGCAGAAAAAGCACCGGCUAACUACGUGCCAGCAGCCGCGGUAAUACGUAGGGUGCAAGCGUUGUCCGGAAUUAUUGGGCGUAAAGAGCUCGUAGGCGGUUUGUCGCGUCUGCUGUGAAAACCCGAGGCUCAACCUCGGGCCUGCAGUGGGUACGGGCAGACUAGAGUGCGGUAGGGGAGAUUGGAAUUCCUGGUGUAGCGGUGGAAUGCGCAGAUAUCAGGAGGAACACCGAUGGCGAAGGCAGAUCUCUGGGCCGUAACUGACGCUGAGGAGCGAAAGCAUGGGGAGCGAACAGGAUUAGAUACCCUGGUAGUCCAUGCCGUAAACGUUGGGAACUAGAUGUGGGGACCAUUCCACGGUCUCCGUGUCGCAGCUAACGCAUUAAGUUCCCCGCCUGGGGAGUACGGCCGCAAGGCUAAAACUCAAAGGAAUUGACGGGGGCCCGCACAAGCGGCGGAGCAUGCGGAUUAAUUCGAUGCAACGCGAAGAACCUUACCAAGACUUGACAUAUACGAGAACGGGCCAGAAAUGGUCAACUCUUUGGACACUCGUAAACAGGUGGUGCAUGGUUGUCGUCAGCUCGUGUCGUGAGAUGUUGGGUUAAGUCCCGCAACGAGCGCAACCCUCGUCCUAUGUUGCCAGCACGUAAUGGUGGGAACUCAUGGGAUACUGCCGGGGUCAACUCGGAGGAAGGUGGGGAUGACGUCAAAUCAUCAUGCCCCUUAUGUCUUGGGCUUCACGCAUGCUACAAUGGCCGGUACAAAGGGCUGCAAUACCGUAAGGUGGAGCGAAUCCCAAAAAGCCGGUCUCAGUUCGGAUUGAGGUCUGCAACUCGACCUCAUGAAGUCGGAGUCGCUAGUAAUCGCAGAUCAGCAACGCUGCGGUGAAUACGUUCCCGGGCCUUGUACACACCGCCCGUCAAGUCAUGAAAGUCGGUAACACCCGAAGCCAGUGGCCUAACCCGCAAGGGGAGG